AAUAACCUCAUUUUUCGUUUUUCCGUGUUCAACGUUUGACCAUUCGUUUUAUUUGAAAUUUUUUUGCGAUUAAUAUUUUUAUUAUUAUUAGAUGAUAAAAUAUGAAUAGUACUUUAUACGUGACUAAUUUUUUUAAUUUUUUAAGUUUUUUACAAAUUUUUCAAAUAAAACGAAUAGUUAAACGUUGAACACGGAAAAAC
rnacentral:pre_miRNA from 1 species